CUUUCUGAAGUUUGACCUCGAAUCAGGUAGGAUUACCCGCUGAACUUAAGCAUAUCAAUAAGCGGAGGAAAAGAAACCAACAGGGAUUGCCCUAGUAACGGCGAGUGAAGCGGCAACAGCUCAAAUUUGAAAUCUGGCCCUCGGGUCCGAGUUGUAAUUUGUAGAGGAUGCUUUUGGUGAGGUACCUUCCGAGUUCCCUGGAACGGGACGCCAUAGAGGGUGAGAGCCCCGUCUGGUUGGAUACCGAUCCUCUGUAAAGCUCCUUCAACGAGUCGAGUAGUUUGGGAAUGCUGCUCUAAAUGGGAGGUAUAUGUCUUCUAAAGCUAAAUAUUGGCCAGAGACCGAUAGCGCACAAGUAGAGUGAUCGAAAGAUGAAAAGCACUUUGAAAAGAGAGUUAAAAAGUACGUGAAAUUGUUGAAAGGGAAGCGCUUAUGACCAGACUUGGACUUGGUUGAUCAUCCUGGGUUCUCCCUGGUGCACUCUUCCAGUUCAGGCCAGCAUCAGUUCAUCGCGGGGGAUAAAGGCUUUAGGAAUGUGGCUCCUUCGGGAGUGUUAUAACCUAUUGUGUAAUACCCUGCUUUGGACUGAGGUUCGCGCAUCUGCAAGGAUGCUGGCGUAAUGGUCAUCAGCGACCCGUCUUGAAACACGGACCAAGGAGUCGUCUUCGUAUGCGAGUGUUCGGGUGUUAAACCCCUACGCGUAAUGAAAGUGAACGCAGGUGAGAGCUUCGGCGCAUCAUCGACCGAUCCUGAUGUUCUCGGAUGGAUUUGAGUAAGAGCAUACGGGGCCGGACCCGAAAGAAGGUGAACUAUGCCUGUAUAGGGUGAAGCCAGAGGAAACUCUGGUGGAGGCUCGCAGCGGUUCUGACGUGCAAAUCGAUCGUCAAAUAUGGGCAUGGGGGCGAAAGACUAAUCGAACCUUCUAGUAGCUGGUUUCCGCCGAAGUUCCCUUCAGA
rnacentral:rRNA from 1 species